UAAGUCAUACGGGGAUUUUUAAUUCAAGUGGCGGACGGGUGAGUAACACGUAAGAAUUUGCCUUUAGGAGGGGGACAACAACUGGAAACGGUUGCUAAUACCCCAUAUGCUUUCGAGUGAAAUGGAUUUUUCCGCCUAAAGAGAAGCUUGCGGCUGAUUAGCUUGUUGGUGAGGUAAUGGCUCACCAAGGCGACGAUCAGUAUCUGGUUUGAGAGGAUGAUCAGACACACUGGAACUGAGACACGGUCCAGACUCCUACGGGAGGCAGCAGUGGGGAAUUUUCCGCAAUGGGCGAAAGCCUGACGGAGCAAUCUCGCGUGAGGGAUGACGGCCUAUGGGUUGUAAACCUCUUUUUUCAGGGAGGAACAAAAUGACGUGUACCUGAAGAAUAAGCAUCGGCUAACUCCGUGCCAGCAGCCGCGGUAAGACGGAGGAUGCAAGUGUUAUCCGGAAUCACUGGGCGUAAAGCGUCUGUAGGUGGUUUGAUAAGUCAACUGUUAAAUCUUGAAGCUCAACUUCAAAAUCGCAGUCGAAACUAUUAGACUAGAGUAUAGUAGGGGUAAAGGGAAUUUCCAGUGGAGCGGUGAAAUGCGUAGAUAUUGGAAAGAACACCGAUGGCGAAGGCACUUUACUGGGCUAUUACUGACACUCAGAGACGAAAGCUAGGGUAGCAAAUGGGAUUAGAUACCCCAGUAGUCCUAGCCGUAAACAAUGGAUACUAGAUGUUGAACAGAUCGACCUGUGCAGUAUUAAAGCUAACGCGUUAAGUAUCCCGCCUGGGAAGUAUGCUCGCAAGAGUG
rnacentral:rRNA from 1 species